UUUGACUUAUCGGGUUUUAUUUUUUAUACAAGUCCCUAAUUUUUGACUGGAUUGCUCUUUCAAGUUUUCAAUCCAUCGGGACGCCCUAUUUUUUUGCCUAAGUCUCCCUUUCUGGUUUUUGACUUAGCGAUAUUUUUAUCCUCUUUUUUUAUGCAUAGUAUUUCUUGACUGCAUCUGAGUUUAUGGCUCGUGGUAACUCUGCUUCGUCCAUAAUCAUGAGAAUCAUAGCUCUUCCAGAGAAGGCCUUCUUCAC
rnacentral:lncRNA from 1 species